rnacentral:rRNA from 1 species
CAUUCACGGAGAGUUUGAUCCUGGCUCAGGACGAACGCUGGCGGCGUGCUUAACACAUGCAAGUCGAACGAUGAAGCCUUUCGGGGUGGAUUAGUGGCGAACGGGUGAGUAACACGUGGGCAAUCUGCCCUUCACUCUGGGACAAGCCCUGGAAACGGGGUCUAAUACCGGAUAACACUCUGUCCUGCAUGGGACGGGGUUAAAAGCUCCGGCGGUGAAGGAUGAGCCCGCGGCCUAUCAGCUUGUUGGUGGGGUAAUGGCCUACCAAGGCGACGACGGGUAGCCGGCCUGAGAGGGCGACCGGCCACACUGGGACUGAGACACGGCCCAGACUCCUACGGGAGGCAGCAGUGGGGAAUAUUGCACAAUGGGCGAAAGCCUGAUGCAGCGACGCCGCGUGAGGGAUGACGGCCUUCGGGUUGUAAACCUCUUUCAGCAGGGAAGAAGCGAAAGUGACGGUACCUGCAGAAGAAGCGCCGGCUAACUACGUGCCAGCAGCCGCGGUAAUACGUAGGGCGCAAGCGUUGUCCGGAAUUAUUGGGCGUAAAGAGCUCGUAGGCGGCUUGUCACGUCGG